AUCACUUGGGAUCUUGUUAAAAUGCAGAUUCUGAUUCAAUACAUUUAGAGUGAGACCUGAGAUUCUGCAUUUGUAACCAGUUCUUAUGUGGUACUGA
rnacentral:pre_miRNA from 1 species